rnacentral:rRNA from 1 species
AUACGUAGGGGGCUAGCGUUAUCCGGAAUUACUGGGCGUAAAGGGUGCGUAGGUGGUUUCUUAAGUCAGAAGUGAAAGGCUACGGCUCAACCGUAGUAAGCUUUUGAAACUAAGAGACUUGAGUGCAGGAGAGGAGAGUAGAAUUCCUAGUGUAGCGGUGAAAUGCGUAGAUAUUAGGAGGAAUACCAGUUGCGAAGGCGGCUCUCUGGACUGUAACUGACACUGAGGCACGAAAGCGUGGGGAGCAAACAGGAUUAGAUACCCUGGUAGUCCACGCCGUGAACGAUGAGUACUAGCUGUCGGGGGUUACCCCCCUCGGUGGCGCAGCUAACGCAUUAAGUACUCCGCCUGGGAAGUACGCUCACAAGAGUGAAACUCAAAUGAAUUGACGGGG